rnacentral:rRNA from 1 species
CCUACGUGAGGCAGCAGUGAGGAAUAUUGGUCAAUGGGCGCGAGCCUGAACCAGCCAAGUAGCAUGAAGGAUGACUGCCCUACGGGUUGUAAACUUCUUUUAUAAAGGAAUAAAGUGAGGCACGUGUGCCUUUUUGUAUGUACUUUAUGAAUAAGGAUCGGCUAACUCCGUGCCAGCAGCCGCGGUAAUACGGAGGAUCCGAGCGUUAUCCGGAUUUAUUGGGUUUAAAGGGAGCGUAGAUGGGUUGUUAAGUCAGUUGUGAAAGUUUGCGGCUCAACAGUAAAAUUGCAAUUGAUACUGGCAGUCUUGAGUACAGUUGAGGUAGGCGGAAUUCGUGGUGUAGCGGUGAAAUGCUUAGAUAUCACGAAGAACUCCGAUUGCGAAGGCAGCUUACUAAACUGCCACUGACAUUGAUGCUCGAAAGUGUGGGUAUCAAACAGGAUUAGAUACCCUAGUAGUC